ensembl:lncRNA
CUGAAAUCAACUGGACCCAGCCUGUGGCAGGAAGCAUUUGGGCAUACACAGCCUGGGGGAGUUACGCCAGGGCUGCCCCACCUCCCGGGGAUUAAGGAAACAGGAAAGAGGUGGUGGGAAGGAGCAGGGCACCUUAGGCAGAGACACGAUGGUCUCCCUCCUCCAGAACCAGGCUUGCUUCUCUUCUUCUUACAUUGCGCGAUGGGGGGCACCACCAGGACUGGCAUGGUCUCAUCCAAUACAGGUCCAGAUGUCAACAACACAGACAAGUUAGUGGAAAUCAACAGCACAGAAACAACAACAGUGACCCCAGGAGGACCGACCACCUCAGAGAGAAUCUUUGGGAGUACUCGACUCUAUGAGAAUUCAGCCGUCACCUACACUUCCUCGAAAUCCAAAACAUCUCUAGCUUCUGAGACCUUGGCACCAGCCGGAACUGCCUACAAAGCUGAGACUAAGAUAGCCGAGUCUUUUUCCCCAGUGGAGACACUCAUGAUAACGGAUGCCCUGGAUAAAAUGGAGACUACAACACUACUGGAGAGCACUAACCCCACCACUGCCUCUGUUACAGUCAUCUCAGAAUCAGGGACAGCCAUAGACAAGACCCGCAGCCAGGCUAAAACUUUGACAAUAGCCUCUUCUACUACAGAAGCAGAGGUAGACACAACGGAAUCUCUUGCCUCAGCUGAAACUUGGCGUAGGAUGAGCAUCUUCUGCAAAGUAGUCUGGAAAUCAUUAAUAGAGCCACCCCUGCUUCCUCUUCCACCCCCCACCAAAAGCAUGGAAAACAUAGACAUCAUCCCAAAGAACACCAUGACUACUUACAGUCUGUGACAGACUACCCCUGGACUUCUCCUUUGAACAGUAGCAUCCCAGAAAACUAUGAAACCGGCAUCAAAACUUCCAUUUUCACUGAGGCCAUGACCACAACUGACACUUCCACAGAAUCAGAGAUCUCAAACCCUUUUAGGACCAUUAUCCUUGAGGAGACCUCUGGAAUAAUGAUACCACCAGGAAAAGAGACUGUCAUUGUAGAAGAAAUAUUACCCUUUACACUCCUGGAUGAGUUCACUGAGAUAGUAGAUACAGCCGGCAACACCUUAGAAAGAGAAGGGACCCCAAUCAAGACCACAACCCUCCCUGGGACUUUGACUACAGCCAGUCCUAUUACAGAAGCCACCAUGCUGACAAGCAACCUCAUUGAUACCUUCCCUAUAGCUGACAGCACCCAAGAAAUAAAGACCACCACUGCUGUAGCCUUGUCCAUGGCCUAUACCAAUACAGAAGCAGAGACUACUAGCCCUGAGAUAGACACCUCUGCUGAGCCUUUAGAUGUAGCUGGCAAUAACUUACAGCCAAAGACCAUAGGUGAAAAAACAACCUUAACUGGUGACAUCACAGAAACAAUUGGGACUAGAGCUAAGACCACCAUUUUUUCUGGGUCCUCAAUGACAAUCGACAGCUCUACAGAAGAAGGGACUUCAGUCUUCUUAAAGACUGAUUUCUUUUCUGAAACAUCAGCUUCAUCUUCCUCAGCUGAAGAUGAGUUGAGCUCAGCUGUUGAGACCUUGACAACAACCAACACCAUCACCAUGGCAGUGUCAACCACAGCUGAAACUCCUAAUGCAGCUGAGACCCUUGGUACCACAGGUCACACUGUAGAAACUACAGGCGAAAUGGCAACAGACACCUUGAAUACAAUUUACAUUCCCACCACGGAAGAAGCCACAGCUCCGACUGAGACAGCUGUCUUCCCUGAGGUCCCAAGUACAGUUAUGAUCUCCAAGUUCACUACCCCUGGUGAGUUUUCAGACAAAGUCUAUACCACCACCGAAGGGACAACAGCCCCAGGAAUAAAUUCCUCCGGAGACAAGACUUUAACCUCAGGCAAGACCCCAGCAAUAGUCUCAACAAUAGGAAAGCAUACUGUCACUGCCCUGAUGAACCAAAACACCAAUGCUAAUUCCCGUCACGAUGGAGGCUUUCUCCUCCUUCGGCUGAUUGUGUCCUCCUCCCUGGACCUCACUGAUCAUAAGGUGGCAAAGGAGCUCCUGCAUAAGCUUCAUCAGGAUCUGCAGGUACAAGUCCCCUACACCCAAAUCUCUUUGAUGAAGGUCACCAAGUAUUGAAGAGUUUUUAUUAGCAGCCUGGAGAGUGACUUCAGUAAAGAGAAGAUAAUGCUGCUAAUAAUCUACGUCUCCACAAGCAGGAUUGCAGGCCACAUUGCUGGGCAAAGGUGUUCGUGGAAGGUCCUAACAGAAGCCAUCCUCUUUAACCCCCACCUCUGCAUAGAACAGCACAGCUGUUGCCCCAUACAGCUGGGGGACUUACCCUGGGGGUCCUGGGCAGAAGACCAAAGAUACUUCCUUGAGCACAUAUAUGAGCAUUUUAAUAAAGGGCUAUUUUUCCCCCA